rnacentral:misc_RNA from 1 species
GAUGAAGAACGUAGCGAAAUGCGAUACUUGGUGUGAGUUGCAGAAUCCCGUGAACCAUCGAGUCUUUGAACGCAAGUUGCGCCCGAAGCCAUUAGGCCGAGGGCACGCCUGCCUGGGCGUCACACGUCGUUGCCCCCCCAUCUACUCCUUCGGGAUUGCGGGGGGCGGAUGAUGGCCUCUCGUGCGCCUCGUCGCGCGGUUGGCCUAAAUGCCAAGUCCUCGGCGACGCACGCCACGACAAUCGGUGGUUGCGAAACCUCGGUUGCCUGUCGUGUGCGGUCGUCGCGCAUCGAGGGCUCGAAAAAAUUGCCGGGCUUCGGCUCGACUUUCAACGCGACCCCAGGUCAGGCGGGGUUACCCGCUGAAUUUAAGCAUAUCAAUAAGCGGAGGA